rnacentral:sRNA from 1 species
GUCAUUUCCGCCGAGUCCCUGACCUGCUGCUAGGAUCGCGACGGGAACUGGAGCCCGAGGUCCCCGCGCGGCCCGGGCCUGGCGCCCUGAGGGGAAGAGCGGCCCGGCCCGAGGGUGCUGGGGUGGAGAGUUUUACUCCAAUACCUUUCCUAGCCAUGACGGACGGGAUCCUAGGGAAGGCAGCCACAAUGGAGAUCCCUAUCCACGGGAACGGCGAAGCCAGGCAGCUUCCUGAAGAUGAUGGGCUGGAGCAGGUGCUUCUGUUUGAUUCUUCUAAUUGUUUCAAUUUAGGAAUCCAAUUUAUAAAUCCUAGGUUCUCACCCUCCAUUCCAGUAGCCUUCCCCUGACUUAUCUGACUCCCUUCAUUCUUUAUACUUAUCAUUUUGAUUCUGUGCAGACUUCCCUUGUGUACUAUCUUUAUGAUGCUUGAAUCCAAACUUGUUCCCACCUCCAAAAUGCUUCUGCAGCCCCUAUGUUCCUGAAGCAACCCCUCUUCUCUGGCCUAUAGGACCUCCAGCAGGUGAUGGUGUCAGGACCCAACCUCAAUGAAACCAGCAUUGUGUCUGGUGGCUAUGGGGGCUCUGGUGAUGGACUCAUCCCCACAGGUAUGAAUGUUCAGAAACAGGAAUCUUGGGUGGAGGAGGGGACAGGAAUGGUUUGGGGAAGCAUAGGAUAUCUCUAGGAAAGCUUGAAUUAUGUCUGGAGAUCUUGGGAACUUCUGCUUGUAGGAACCCCAUGGACUCUCCUCAGCCCAAAAGCAACUCCCAGCAUUGUCCAUCCAUUUCCCUUUUGCCACUUAGCCCCUGAAAUGGCUCAUUUGUCCUUUCCCUGCCACCACCUGAGUCAAGACCUACUUCACAGGAAUGCCCCCGCUCUACAGCUUGAGGCUGAGUUGGAACUUUGUGAGGCUUCUCA